rnacentral:rRNA from 1 species
GUAGGUGGCAAGCGUUGUCCGGAAUUAUUGGGCGUAAAGCGCGCGCAGGCGGUCCUUUAAGUCUGAUGUGAAAGCCCACGGCUCAACCGUGGGGGGUCAUUGGAAACUGGGGGACUUGAGUACAGAAGAGGAAAGCGGAAUUCCAAGUGUAGCGGUGAAAUGCGUAGAGAUUUGGAGGAACACCAGUGGCGAAGGCGGCUUUCUGGUCUGUAACUGACGCUGAGGCGCGAAAGCGUGGGGAGCAAACAGGAUUAGAUACCCUGGUAGUCCACGCCGUAAACGAUGAGUGCUAAGUGUUAGGGGGUUUCCCGCCCCCCUUAGUGCUGCAGCUAACGCAUUAAGCACUCCGCCUGGGGAGUACGGCCGCAAGGCUA